rnacentral:rRNA from 1 species
UACGGAGGGUGCAAGCGUUAUCCGGAUUCACUGGGUUUAAAGGGUGCGUAGGUGGGAAUGUAAGUCAGUGGUGAAAUCUCCGUGCUUAACAUGGAAACUGCCAUUGAUACUAUGUUUCUUGAAUCUUCCGGAGGUUAGCGGAAUAUGUCAUGUAGCGGUGAAAUGCUUAGAUAUGACAUAGAACACCAAUUGCGAAGGCAGCUGACUACAGGGGCAUUGACACUGAGGCACGAAAGCGUGGGGAUCAAACAGG